rnacentral:rRNA from 1 species
CCUACGGGGGGCAGCAGUGAGGAAUAUUGGUCAAUGGGCGUAAGUCUGAACCAGCCAAGUCGCGUGAAGGAUGACGGUCCUAUGGAUCGUAAACUUCUUUUAUAAGGGAAUAAAGCGCGGCACGUGUGCCGUUUUGCAUGUACUUUAUGAAUAAGGAUCGGCUAACUCCGUGCCAGCAGCCGCGGUAAUACGGAGGAUCCGAGCGUUAUCCGGAUUUAUUGGGUUUAAAGGGAGCGUAGGUGGCCUUUUAAGUCAGCGGUGAAAGUUUGUGGCUCAACCAUAGAAUUGCCAUUGAUACUGGCAGUCUUGAGUACAGUUGAGGCAGGCGGAAUUCGUGGUGUAGCGGUGAAAUGCUUAGAUAUCACGAAGAACCCCGAUUGCGAAGGCAGCUUACUAAGCUGUGACUGACACUGAUGCACGAAAGCGUGGGGAUCAAACAGGAUUAGAUACCCGAGUAGUC